rnacentral:rRNA from 1 species
CAUUACUGAGUUUACGCUCUAUAACCCUUUGUGAACAUACCUAUAACUGUUGCUUCGGCGGGUAGGGUCUCCGCGACCCUCCCGGCCCUCCCGCCUCCGGGCGGGUCGGCGCCCGCCGGAGGAUAACCAAACUCUGAUUUAACGACGUUUCUUCUGAGUGGUACAAGCAAAUAAUCAAAACUUUUAACAACGGAUCUCUUGGUUCUGGCAUCGAUGAAGAACGCAGCGAAAUGCGAUAAGUAAUGUGAAUUGCAGAAUUCAGUGAAUCAUCGAAUCUUUGAACGCACAUUGCGCCCGCCAGCAUUCUGGCGGGCAUGCCUGUUCGAGCGUCAUUUCAACCCUCAAGCUCUGCUUGGUGUUGGGGCCCUACAGCUGAUGUAGGCCCUCAAAGGUAGUGGCGGACCCUCCCGGAGCCUCCUUUGCGUAGUAACUUUACGUCUCGCACUGGGAUCCGGAGGGACUCUUGCCGUAAAACCCCCCAAUUUUCCAAAGGUUGACCUCGGAUCAGGUAGGAAUACCCGC